GCAGGACAACAGCAAUAUCUGUGACUUCUCCCUCAGUCGGCGACAUAAAUGAAGACCAACUAAAGGAAUAUAUGCAGAAUACCAUAGCCAGCAAUUGCGUCCCAGGGAUGAAUGAUGCCCUGGAAAAGAACCAGAUGAAAAUGCCCAACCUGAUGGGGGCUGACUAUAAUCAUUCUGCAUUCAAGAUGGUGGAGGGUGUCGUGAUCAUUGAAGUGGACCACAGCAACGUUGAGGACGAUACCAUGGUGCACUUGGAGAAGUUUAAAAACAUGUCUGUUUAAAAACAGGCUAGAAACCUGCACCUGCAUCCAAGAGGUGUUCACCCAGCCACUUGAUCCAAAACGAAAACAGCACAUCCACCUAGAAUGGGUCCCUUCCAACUCGACAAUUCGAUCUGGAGUGGGCAGCGAUUGGAGAACUCUUCUUCCUCGCCUGCCUGAUAAACGCUCACCCCCAUUCCCAGUUCUCUAGGCUGUAACUCUCUGUCCGGAGGCUUGGAAUGAUAUUUGGCGGGUUCUUUCAAUAAAAUAACCCAUGUUUCCUCUCCUGCA